rnacentral:lncRNA from 1 species
GUGCCCACAGCAUGGGGAAAUUCCCUGGGCCAGAGAUCAAACCUGUGCCACAAAGUGACUUGAGCCGCAGCAUCUUUUCACCUUUUCUAGGGCCACGCCCACGGCAUAUGGAGGUUCCCAGGCUAGGGGUCAAAUCAGAGCUGUAGCCGUGGCCUACGCCAGAGCCACAGCAAUGCAGGAUCUGAGCUGCAUCUGCGACCUACUCCACAGCUCACGGCAACACUGGAUCCUUAACCCACUGAGCAAGGCCAGGGAUUGAACCCGCAACCUCAUGGUUCCUAGUCGGAUUAGUUAACCACUGAGCCACGAUGGGAACUCCCAUUAUAUUAGUUUUUAUUAUUACAUUCUCUUACAUUAUCAAUUUAUCCAGUUUAGUACAAUUUAUCCUUAUUGCUGACUUAAAAAAAUUUAAUCAUUUGCCAUGUUUAUUGUCUUUUUUUGUAUAUAGUUCACUUUUCAGUUUUAGUAAUUUCUGUUCAUUUCUUUUUUGAGGAGAACAUUCUGCAUUUUCACACUUUCAUCCCUUUUUCUUCAUAGCCAAAGACACUUCUUUGGUUCAGACCUUCAGCAGCUCCAGCCUAACCUGCUGAUGCCAACAACCUCUGUAAUGCUCCCAAGUAAGUAGAUGCUCCUGCAUCCAGUCUCUCUGCCCAGAAGAGAAAGCCAAAUCUAGUAACAUGAUAUCAAAGACCCUUCACAGCCCAGCUUCUCCUUGUCUAUUCACCUCUGACUGCAAUUUUCCACACUUCCUAUUGUAAAAAAAAAAAAUCAAUCAAUAGAAACCUCAUUUACACAGAGGUGGGUGGCCAGAUGGGGAAUCUCUCAUAACUUGUGAUGAAAAUGGAAGUAGAACGACUCUUCUUCAAUCUCAGCAAAGAUUCAACCAAUGAAAAGCCUCGGACGCUUUGUUUACUACAGCCCUCCCAACUUCUUUUUCCUCUCUAUAGAAGUGGUCUCCUUCCCUUGCAUGAGGGGGCUUGCACAUGGCUCUCCAUGGUUGCAGACCCUAAACUGCAAUUCUCUGCUGAUCCUAAAUAAGCCCUUCCCCCCCCCACCGGAGAAAUAUCCGGCAGUCUGUUUCAGGUCAACAGCAUCAUACAGCAACACCCAGCUUCUUUGCCAUCUGCAGUCACCAUGCUUUCUUUUUCACAUGUGACCUCAGAACAUUCUCUGUCUAGGAUGCCUUCUGCCCUUUAUUCUACUCAUCUUUUCUUCAUCCUUUGAGAUUCUUCUCAAGUCACUUGCUUCUGAAGCCAUCACCAACAACUAAAGUUCUUUGUGCCCUUAUCUUAUUUUAAAAUAUUUGUGCAAAGACCAUGAGAGCCUCAGAACUCACAGUACCCCUUUCUUUGAAAGAUUUUUGUCUCCUAAAGACAUAGCAUUUCCUAAGUAAUCAUUUUCUUAGUUUCACUGAAGGCAUAAGAAUCAAAACAGCAUGAAGUAAUCAAUAUUAACUCACUAACCAGAUCUAUUCCAGUCAAAAGAGACACAUCUCUUACCACAGGUGGAGUUAGCACAGGUAAACGCAUUAUUUUAAAAAUAUUAAAACCAUCCUGUGAAUCUGGCUGAUAAUUAUUAUACUGGACCUUAAACUCACAGAUCACUCAUUUCCCCUUCCUAAGCCUUUCUAAGGUGAAGUAGUCAAAUUCUUGGUUUUAGAGCCAGACUUCCUGGGUUGCAAAAUGCCUCUACUUACUAGUCAUGUGUCCUUGGCAGUAAAACUCAAUCUUUCUCAUCUAUAAAAUGGGGAUGUUGAUGAUCAUGGUAAUGACAUCUUGUGAGUAUGAAGCGAAUGCACAGAAAGCACUUAGAAGAGUGCUUGAUGCAACUGAGGCACUUCGAUGUGCUAGUUAUUAUGACUAUGCCCAAUUAUGAAGAUGAGGACGACCUGAGUGGAGGCUGCAGGGAUCACAAAUCUUAUAAUGAGAAAAGAGCAAAACUUAGAUUUGCAAGUGCAGAGGAGCUACUAAGUUCUAGGCGUGCAGUUGGCGCUCAAACAGAUUUGAUUCAUUGUGUUCAAUGCAUCAGACUCCAAAUCUAAGUCUCUUUCUUGUUGUGUUGAAUCUCAGAGAAAGAGGUGUAUAUAAGCUUCAAGGCAGAGUUAAAAUAACUUCCCUAACUGUGCCUUGUUGGGAAGAGCAAGUACAAACCGCUGAGUCAUGCUCUCCCAAGGAAGACUCAAGGAAGGAUGGAGUAGCUGCUUAAGGCUUCCUCAUAAUUUCCUUCGGUCUCCGUCUUCAUAUUUUCAGAUGGACAAUAAAUAUUUUCACAUUUCUAUAGGGAAUGCUUUGAUGGCACAGCCUCAUGACAAGCCCCUUCAAAGUGCACUGCCACCUUAAGCCAAUUAAAAAUCAGAAAACUUUACCUUCCAUAGAAUCCCUUUUGCUCUAGACUGAAUGUCUGUGUCCACCUCCCCCACCCACCAAAUUCAUAUGUUGAAAUCCAGUCCCCAUUGUGAAGGUAUUUAGAGCAAGGGUUUGGGCGAGGUGAUUAGGUUAUGAAUACAGAGCCCUGAGGAAUGGGAUUAGUAUCCUUAUAGAAAAGACCCCAAAGAGCUUCCUUGCUCCUCUGCCACAUGAGGACAUAGCAAGAGGGCAGCCAUCUGUGCAUGAGAAAGCAGACCCUCACAGAACACUGAAUCUGCCCAUUCCUUGAACUUGGUUGGGCUUCAUAGUCUUGAAAACUGUGAAAAAUAAAUUUCUGUAGUUUAUAAGCUAUCCAGUCUAUGGCAUUCUGUUAUAGCAGGCUGAAUUGAUUAAGACCGUGGUGUUUUACCAUUCACAAAGGUCUUCAUAUCCAUUGUCCCAUCAGACCUCAUGACUGUGACAUAGCCAGAGCAACUGUUGUCAUUCCCAUGUCACAGUAGAAGAAACGUGACUCAAAGGAGUCUUGGCUUACUGAAGUUCAUAGCACUACUAAGUAGUGGAGUGAGGACGUGACCUCAACACUCAAAACAGAAAAGAAUACUGGAACAUGCAGCAGCUCUAGAAGGUCCUGCUACCUGGCAGCAAGCUCUCCAACUGGAUACUGCUAAGCAUCCCAUGAGGUUUUCCCAUGUGCUAUGGCUGGGAGCCCAUAGUCCUGGUCAGUAAGGAGACUUUUCCGCUUCCCCACUGAGUAACAUUCUGCUGCCCAGGGCUCUACUCUUUGUCUUCUCACAUUCUGAAGUCCCAGAUGACUGACAGCCAAGCAUGAUUGUCUACAAAUUUUCAAUAAGCAUUUCUCAGGUGCCUGAUGCUACACCAGGUUUGGAGGGGCUGGGCAGGAGUCCUACUGGGAGAACCUCAGCUCCCUGGAUCUAAGGAUGAAAUAAGGAGGCCCCCAGAUAAAUAUAAACCUCAUCUUCACAAGGGAUAAUAUAUGCAUGACAACCAUGGACCAAAUGUCAAAAAGGAAAGUCUGCAACAGGAACGGGGUUCCUUCUUCGUUGAGAAGAACUUCCCUGGAAUAUCGCCAACAGGAGACUUUCAGAUUGGCCAGUAAGAUGCAGGAUGGAGGGAGGUGCUGACAAGAAAUCCUUGUUCUAGGAGUUCCCUUUGUGGCUCAGCAGUUAAUGAACCCAACUAGGAUCGAUGAGGAAAUGGGCUCGAUCUUGGGCCUCGCUCAGUGGGUUAAGGAUCCAGCAUUGCCGUGAGCUGUAGUCUAGGUGGCAAACGUAGCUACAAUCCUGCGUUGCUAUGGCUGUGCCAUAGGCCACCAGCUGGCCUGGGAACUUCCAAAUAAAUAAAUAAAGGGAAGUCCUUGUUCCAACAGUUUGAAGCGUCUUUUUCUUCUUAAGCCUCCCCUGAAACCCAAAGACAACUUGAUAAUAGUUUAAGUAAGCACCCAGCUUCAUUCUGUGGUGAUUUUUCUAAAAUCAUGUCUGUCUUCUGAGAACAACUUGAAAGAGACCAUAUUUGUGGGUUUCAGCAAUCCCCAUACCUAGUACAGGGCCUGGUUUAUUGAAAUUAUGAAUUAAUCGAAGGAAUUAAUUCAACUAUAGAACGCUGCGGAUCUAGCUGCAAUGACUCCUAGUUGGCAAUGGGAAAUCUUCAUACUAGUAAAACAUCAGUACAUUGCAUCAGUUACCUCUGACAUCUGUAUUUUCAAAUCUAAGAAUCAGGUCAUAACAAAACUCCCUGAUUCUCCUUAUCUCUCUAGAUAGGAUUUGAUGUUGUUAACACUCUUCUUGCACCGAUUAGCAGCACCCUGCUCCCCACCCCAAUUGCCAGGAAAUCUGCAUUUAAUUAAAUUAGAAUCAACACAGGCAAAACAAAGUAAAAGUCCACAGUUGAUCUUAUAAAAAUAAAGAUGAGAAAGGCUGUGCUUUCCCACAUUCACUGAACAUGGAUGUGUGUUUGCCAUAAAUCAGGCCUGCUGCGAGAAUGAUGCUGAGCUUCCCAUAUGGCAAAUAUCAGAUUGAGACACACAAGUAGAAAUUGUCCUCAUAUUCUUAAAUUAAUUCUGUUCAGUUUAUUUGGGGUGUCAUCGUAUCCAGCAAGCAUUCAAGAAACAACAUGGCUAGAAAUCCAAAGAGGUUUCCAUGUACAAUCUAACACAGUUAAUGACAAACUUUCUGAGGUCAAGAACAGUUACGUUAUAUUAUUAUUUGGAGUUAAAAAUGAUUUUCUUAUUUCUCUACUAUUAUUAUUGUGAAAUAAAAUAGAAAGCAGGAGUCUGAAGGAUAUUGUCAAAAAUCUCUUAGAACAAAUAUUUAGAGAGUUAUGAAUUCAUCUGUCUUAGAUCCAGAGAUUCUUGAUUCUGACACAAAAUGCUUUUUUAGUUUAGUUUCAUUUUUGUUUGUUGGCUUUAUUUGGGUGUUUUUAUAAAUGAAAAAUCAGGAGAGAAAACAAAAGUGCUGCUUCUCUUUACCUUCACAAGGAGACUGUUCCCUUCUCAUGUGGAAAGUUUGGACUCUAAAGACCUCUCAACCAAGACAACAGAAUUACAAUACUGGACAUGUUUCCUUUCAGUUAUCAAUUUUCUGCUUUGCACACACUUUGUCUGGAUCUUAGCUCAGACACUUUCCUCAGUGUGAGAAAUCACUGAACCUUUGCAAGCCUCUAAUUCUUUAUUUGCAAAAUGGGAAUGAAAAAAUGGACCUACCACCCAGCAUCCUCACGAGGAUUCAGCAGGAUCCCAUGUGAAAACUGAAUCACAGUGCUGGCCAGAAGCAGGUGCUUAGUUAACUCUUUUCUCUCUUCAAGUCUGCCCUUCCUCAUGCUCUCCUUCAAUUAAUGGAUACUUGUAACUGAUCUUAGGCAUCAAAAUGUCCUUGACAGCCAUUGCUUCUUCCCUUUAUUUCAUGGGUUCUAAAAUCCAUUACCCCUGGUUGGCUAGUUUUCCCAGUCUAAUCAGAGGAAACGCAGUUCUCCUUGAUGACCUCCGAGUAUGUGUUUGUCUAUGGUAUUUUAGCUAGAGCUAAAUGAAGGCAAGCCCUGCCCCAUAUGGACUUUAUCCUCCAGUACACAACAAAAGAAGUAGGAGAUACAGUAUAUAAAAGAAUUUUAAUUAGUAAACAGUGUGCUUUUCAUUCCCAGGAUUUCAUUUAACUUUCCGGUUUCUGGCUCAUAGAAGUAGAUCAAUGGGGCAUCCAUGCAACUGAAUAACAAAGCAAGGAUUCAAAGAGGAAAUGAUAGAUUUGGAAGAAGAUACAAAGAACCAGACCACUCUGCCUCCACAAGAGCCUCAGAAGCAUAUAACUCAGCGAGAGGAAAAAGACAAUAAGGGGAAGGAGGAAAGCUUGAAUGCUGGGGAACCUUGAGGAAGAUGUGGAUAGGACCCCGAGAAGGAGCUGGAUUGGGGCUGGGGAGAAGGAAGGUGAGAAGGGAGCAUGAUGUACCACCUCAGACAGGUUUGAGCAUCCAGGAGCAGCACUGACCUGCCCCCACUUUCCCCAGGAGGGUCUGAGAAAGUAGCCAACACCAGUAUGUUCAUCCCCUGCACAGAGCAAGGGCAGAGGCAGUACAGAUGUCGGGUGCAGAGGAGAACAAGACUACAGUCUCCCAGGGCACAGGACAAGAGGAAUGAGGGCUGGGCUGCAGAACUCUUCUCCAUGAGCUCCUAAGUGGCAUGGUUCAGGCAGAGAAGUGGGCCUGAUGCUGGAUCUAACACCCCCGCCAUCACUAUUCAAAAAAAUGAACAAUCCUGUCUGGAAAAGUAUAUAUUAGUGUUUCAAUGCACAUUUGUGAUGCUAAAUAUUUUUACUCGUUUAGGUCUUCUUCCUUUUUUAAGAUUAGGAUCUUAGCUGUUUUCUAAGUAAUCUGUAAACCUCUUCAUACAUUAACAGUAUUAUCAUUUGUGAAUAAGUAGUAAAUAUUUACUCAACUUUGUUUUUAUUUUGGUCUUUUCAUGUAAAGGUGUUUUCCCCUUUUCUAGAUUUGGGCAUUAUCACGUUAGCUAUCUAAAGAACGAAAGCACUAACUACGUGCUGGCUUCAUGUCAAUGACCUUUUCUUUAAUACCCAUGAUGUCCCUGAAAGGUGGAUAUUUUUCAUUUUACAGACAUCAACACGGAUG